rnacentral:misc_RNA from 1 species
GAAAUGCGAUAAGUAAUGUGAAUUGCAGAAUUCAGUGAAUCAUCGAAUCUUUGAACGCACCUUGCGCUCCUUGGUAUUCCUUGGAGCAUGCCUGUUUGAGUAUCAUGAAAUCUUCAAAGUAAAUCUUUUGUUAACUCAAUUGGUUUCUACUUUGGUAUUGGAGGUCUUUGCAGCUUCACACCUGCUCCUCUUUGUUCAUUAGCUGGAUCUCAGUGUUAUGCUUGGUUCCACUCGGCGUGAUAAGUUAUCUAUCGCUGAGGACACUGUAAAAGGUGGCCAAGGUAAAUGCAGAUGAACCGCUUCUAAUAGUCCAUUGCCUUGGACAAUACUUUUAUGAUCUGAUCUCACAUCAGGUAGGACUACCCGCUGAACUUAAGC